UAGCCGUAAACGAUACUCGCUAGGUGUCGGCCACGGUGCGACCGUUGUCGGUGCCGUAGGGAAGCCGUGAAGCGAGCCACCUGGGAAGUACGGCCGCAAGGCUGAAACUUAAGGAAUUGGCGGGGGAGCACAACAACGGGUGGAGCUUGCGGUUUAAUUGGAUUCAACGCCGGAAAUCUUACCGGGACCGACAGCAACAUGAAGGCCAAGCUGAAGACUUUGCCGGAUUAGCUGAGAGGAGGUGCAUGGCGUA
rnacentral:rRNA from 1 species